rnacentral:rRNA from 1 species
GACGAACGCUGGCGGCGUGCCUAAUACAUGCAAGUAGAACGCACAGUUUAUACCGUAGCUUGCUACACCAUAGACUGUGAGUUGCGAACGGGUGAGUAACGCGUAGGUAACCUGCCUGGUAGCGGGGGAUAACUAUUGGAAACGAUAGCUAAUACCGCAUAAUAUUGAUUAUUGCAUGAUAAUUAAUUGAAAGGUGCAAUUGCACCACUACCAGCUGGACCUGCGUUGUAUUAGCUAGUAGGUGAGGUAACGGCUCACCUAGGCGACGAUACAUAGCCGACCUGAGAGGGUGAUCGGCCACACUGGGACUGAGACACGGCCCAGACUCCUACGGGAGGCAGCAGUAGGGAAACUUCGGCAAUGGACGAAAGGCUGACCGAGCAACGCCGCGUGAGUGAAGAAGGGUUUCGGAUCGUAAAGCUCUGUUGUAAGGGAAGAACGGGAGUGAGAGUGGAAAGUGCACACUGUGACGGUAUCUUACCAGAAAGGGACGGCUAACUACGUG